rnacentral:rRNA from 1 species
CCUGGCGACCAUAGCGAACGGGUACCACCUGAUACCAUUUCGAACUCAGUAGUGAAAACGUUCAGCGCCGAUGAUAGUGUGGGAUUACCCAUGUGAAAGUAGGACAUUGCCAGGU